CCUGCACCUGCCGGCGACCGGCGCACGGGUGAGUAACACGUAUGGAACCUGCCCGCCACAGGGGGAUAACCCGGGGAAACCCGGCCUAAUACCCCAUGCCGCCCGGACCGGGCAUCCGGUCCGGGCGAAAGGAGGAAUCCGGUGGCGGCUGGGCAUGCGGCGCAUUAGCUUGACGGCGGGGUAACGGCCCACCGUGGCGACGAUGCGUAGGGGUUCUGAGAGGAAGGCCCCCCACACUGGUACUGAGACACGGACCAGACUCCUACGGAAGGCAGCAG
rnacentral:rRNA from 1 species